rnacentral:rRNA from 1 species
UACGAAGGGGGGCUAGCGUUGUUCGGAAUUACUGGGCGUAAAGCGCACGUAGGCGGCGUGGUAAGUCACUUGUGAAAUCUCCGGGCUUAACUCGGAACGGUCAAGUGAUACUGCUGCGCUAGAGUGCGGAAGGGGCAACUGGAAUUCUCGGUGUAGCGGUGAAAUGCGUAGAUAUCGAGAGGAACACCUGCGGCGAAGGCGGGUUGCUGGGCCGACACUGACGCUGAGGCGCGAAAGCUAGGGGAGCGAACGGG